rnacentral:rRNA from 1 species
CGAGGGGAGUGAAAAAGAACCUGAAACCGUGUACGUACAAGCAGUGGGAGCCUCUUUAUGGGGUGACUGCGUACCUUUUGUAUAAUGGGUCAGCGACUUAUAUUCUGUAGCAAGGUUAACCGAAUAGGGGAGCCGAAGGGAAACCGAGUCUUAACUGGGCGUUAAGUUGCAGGGUAUAGACCCGAAACCCGGUGAUCUAGCCAUGGGCAGGUUGAAGGUUGGGUAACACUAACUGGAGGACCGAACCGACUAAUGUUGAAAAAUUAGCGGAUGACUUGUGGCUGGGGGUGAAAGGCCAAUCAAACCGGGAGAUAGCUGGUUCUCCCCGAAAGCUAUUUAGGUAGCGCCUCGUGAAUUCAUCUCCGGGGGUAGAGCACUGUUUCGGCAAGGGGGUCAUCCCGACUUACCAACCCGAUGCAAACUGCGAAUACCGGAGAAUGUUAUCACGGGAGACACACGGCGGGUGCUAACGUCCGUCGUGAAGAGGGAAACAACCCAGACCGCCAGCUAAGGUCCCAAAGUCAUGGUUAAGUGGGAAACGAUGUGGGAAGGCCCAGACAGCCAGGAUGUUGGCUUAGAAGCAGCCAUCAUUUAAAGAAAGCGUAAUAGCUCACUGGUCGAGUCGGCCUGCGCGGAAGAUGUAACGGGGCUAAACCAUG